CAAGAUUGUACUGCAUAAGUCUAGUGUGGGAAUAUUCCUGGUUCACUUAAAGGGACUUUGACCUUGUAUAUUUAUAUUUAUUUAUAACUUUAGAAUCAGACUCUUGUCUACCAAAUUUUAAGUACGUUUUUAAUUUUAAAGCCACAACUUUGUAUCUUGUUUUAUUGAAUAUGCUUGAGCUUGGAAGCUGCACAUCUUCAGCUCCACUAGAAAAAAAUCCCAGAUAAGUGUCAAGUUGAGCAGCAAAAAUUCAGGAACACAGCCAAAUUGUCAGAAGUGUUCAGUAUCUGUGACUUGGUCCAAAGUCCAGUGCCAUAACCACAAGACCAUCCUUCCUUUUUUUAUCAUCUGUGUUGUAUGUUGGUAGCAAAACUCUAUAACGAUGCCUCUGAAUCUUGCUUUCUGCCACUAAAAGAAGGAUGAAAAUCUUUGUCUUUUUGUAGAAUUUGUAAACUUGAGCUGAAUUUUAAUAUUUUAAAAUCUCCUGCCACAAACAUGUCAGUGUCAACAGGUUGAGAAGAAAAUGACCUGGAAGCAAAAAAGCCCAGGUACAAAAUCUUAAAAAUAAAAUAAGACUUCUGACAGUGUGAAUGGAGUUAGGCAUAGGGCAUGUUCUACAUUCCAUAGGCUUGUAUGAUGACAAAAUAGUGCUCUAAUUAAAUUGCAUUUCACCAUUUUUUUUUUGUUUAGUGAAGUUCUGGCUUGGAAGAAAUCUGUUUUGAUAAACAUGGCCCCUGAAGUAAACCACGGUGCUGUAUUUUCUUUGCCUGGGGGAGAGAGAGGAAGAAGACCUCAUUAUGUCAGCUGCAAAGGCGGAAGAAGGGACCGAAGAGAAGACUUCCUUAUUUCCCUAUAGCCCCUGCCCCUCACCAUCUCCUCUAGACUCCAGUGGGAAGAGAGCCUAGCAGCAACCAACUGGCCCUUGUCAGCUCCCUCUCCUCCAUCACACUCCAUUGUGAGCAGAGGGAUUGGGGAAGUGAAUGCAGAGUCAGAUGAGAAUAGUGAGAGAUGGAAGAAUGGGAAUGGAAGGGGGUGACAGGCAAAUUUUAGAGAAUGGUGGAGGGGUAUUUAAGUGAAUGACAGGUGGGGAAUUAAACUAGGAGAUUGAAAAUCUAAGGGAUGUGAUAGUGUGUGGGAAAAGGGUGGCAGAAUAAGGGAAAAGGUGGAGAGACUGAAGGGAAGAGCUGAACACUUGACCCCAGUAAGAUCAUUUUUGGUUUUGUAUAAAAGCGUGGUGCCAAAAUAUUGCAAUAAGACUCCCAUUAACGUUUUCUCUAGAGGUCAGGGUCCAUGUUUGGAUCAUGUUGAUGUUUGAGAGACCUCAUUUUUAGGUGGUAGAUAAAAACAUGAGUAUUCUUAUGGAUAGAAAGCACAUUGUUUUUAUUAUUCAGGCUUCCUGGUUUUGGUCAAUAUGUUAAUAGGACCUAACAUUUGACCAACUCUGACAAGUUGGUCAAAUAUUAGAUUUGUUUGGUUUUCAUGAAAUAUUCUGAACUAUUUUGAGUUCUUCAAAAGUGUAGGAGA
rnacentral:lncRNA from 1 species